CACGAGGGGUGCAAGCGUUGUUCGGAAUCACUGGGCGUAAAGGGAGCGUAGGCGGACUAUCAAGUCAGGUGUUUAAUGUAUGGGCCCAACCCAUAUUCGGCAUUUGAAACUGAUAGUCUUGAGUAUGUUAGAGGUAGAUGGAAUUCUUGGUGUAGCGGUGGAAUGCGUAGAUAUCAAGAGGAACACCAAUUGCGAAGGCAGUCUACUGGGACAAUACUGACGCUGAGGCUCGAAAGCGUGGGGAGCAAACAGG
rnacentral:rRNA from 1 species